AAACAUGGCUGAAAGAUAAGUGUUUUUGGUUUAAUCUGCUCAAUGCUUAAGUCAAUAGCUGCAGUAUUUUGACUGUACAAAGGUAGCAUAAUCAUUAGUUUUUUAAUUGAAAACUUGUAUGAACGAUUGGAUGAGAAAUAAGCUUUUUUAUUUAUAGUUUGAAUUUUUUUUUUAAGUAAGAAAUCUUAAUUAAUAAAAAGGGACGAGAAGACCCUAUAGAAUUUUAUAUAAGUGAGUAUUAUAUUUAAUUGGGGUGAUUUUUAUUACAUUUAUUUUUAUUCUCAUUUUUUUAUGUGUAAUUGAUCUUGAAUUUAGAUAUAAAGAGAAAAUUACCUUAGGGAUAACAGCAUAAUUUUUAUUUAAAGUUCUAAUUUAAAUAAAAGAUUAUGACCUCGAUGUUGAAUUAAGAAAUUGCUUAUGAGUAGAAAUUUAAGCA
rnacentral:rRNA from 1 species